rnacentral:rRNA from 1 species
UACGAAGGUGGCAAGCGUUGUUCGGAUUUACUGGGCGUACAGGGAGCGUAGGCGGUUGGAUAAGCCCUCCGUGAAAUCUCCAGGCUUAACCUGGAAAGUGCAGAGGGGACUGUUCAGCUAGAGGAUGGGAGAGGAGCGCGGAACUCCCGGUGUAGCGGUGAAAUGCGUAGAGAUCGGGAGGAAGGCCGGUGGCGAAGGCGGCGCUCUGGAACAUUUCUGACGCUGAGGCUCGAAAGCGUGGGGAGCAAACAGG